rnacentral:rRNA from 1 species
AGCGAACGCAGACGGCGGGCUUAACACAUGCAAGUCGAACGUGAACGGGGAGCAAUCCUUAGUAAAGUGGCGUACGGGUGAGUAUCGCGUGGGUAAUCUACCUCAAAGUUUGGAAUAACCUGUCGAAAGACGGGCUAAUACUGGGAUAGAGCGACGAGUGUUGUAAGAACACUUUCGGGAAAGGGAGCCUGAUAAGGGCCCUCGCUUUGAGAUGAGCCUGCGUCCCAUUAGCUAGUUGGUAGGGGUAAUGGCCUACCAAGGCUUUGAUGGGUAGCUGGUCUGAGAGGAUGAUCAGCCACACUGGAACUGAAACACGGUCCAG